UCAAGAUGCCAUCGCGAUGGGAUAAGUGCGAACCAGGUCAGGACGGAAACGCAGCAGCCUUAAACAUCUUGCUCAUGUGCGGUGGUUUCUCUCUUUAA
rnacentral:SRP_RNA from 1 species